AGAGUUUGAUCAUGGCUCAGAUUGAACGCUGGCGGCAGGCCUAACACAUGCAAGUCGAGCGCGAAAGCACUUCGGUGUGAGUAAAGCGGCGGACGGGUGAGUAACGCGUAGGAAUCUACCUAGUAGUGGGGGACAACUCGGGGAAACUCGAGCUAAUACCGCAUACGCCCUACGGGGGAAAGCGGGGGACCUUCGGGCCUCGUGCUAUUAGAUGAGCCUGCGUUGGAUUAGCUAGUUGGUGGGGUAAUGGCCUACCAAGGCGACGAUCCAUAGCUGGUCUGAGAGGAUGAUCAGCCACACCGGGACUGAGACACGGCCCGGACUCCUACGGGAGGCAGCAGUGGGGAAUAUUGCGCAAUGGGCGAAAGCCUGACGCAGCCAUGCCGCGUGUGUGAAGAAGACCUUCGGGUUGUAAAGCACUUUCAAUUGGGAGGAAAGGCUCACGACUAAUACUCGUGAGCUGUGACGUUACCUUUAGAAGAAGCACCGGCUAACUCCGUGCCAGCAGCCGCGGUAAUACGGAGGGUGCGAGCGUUAAUCGGAAUUACUGGGCGUAAAGCGCGCGUAGGUGGUCUGUUAAGUCGGAUGUGAAAGCCCCGGGCUCAACCUGGGAACUGCAUCCGAUACUGGCAGACUAGAGUGCGGGAGAGGGAGGUAGAAUUCCACGUGUAGCGGUGAAAUGCGUAGAUAUGUGGAGGAAUACCAGUGGCGAAGGCGGCCUCCUGGCUCGACACUGACACUGAG
rnacentral:rRNA from 1 species